CUGCGAGUAAGUCCUAUCCGAGGCAAUGAUGCCCGCACUUGUGGAAUGGGAGUACUAUGAUAGGGGUCGCAG
rnacentral:ncRNA from 1 species